rnacentral:tRNA from 1 species
UAGCUCAGUCGGAUAGAGCAACGGCCUUCUAAGCCGUGGGUCGCAGGUUCGAAUCCUG